rnacentral:rRNA from 2 species
AUUGAACGCUGGCGGCAUGCUUUACACAUGCAAGUCGAACGGUAACAGGCCUUCGGGUGCUGACGAGUGGCGAACGGGUGAGUAAUGCAUCGGAACGUGCCCAGAGGUGGGGGAUAACGCAGCGAAAGCUGUGCUAAUACCGCAUGUGAUCUGAGGAUGAAAGCGGGGGACCAAGCAGCAAUGUUUGGCCUCGCGCCUCUGGAGCGGCCGAUGUCAGAUUAGGUAGUUGGUGGGGUAAAGGCCUACCAAGCCGACGAUCUGUAGCUGGUCUGAGAGGACGACCAGCCACACUGGGACUGAGACACGGCCCAG